rnacentral:rRNA from 1 species
UCCGUCAGACGAACGCUGGCGGCGUGCUUAACACAUGCAAGUCGAACGGUGAAGCCCUUCGGGGUGGAUCAGUGGCGAACGGGUGAGUAACACGUGGGCAAUCUGCCCUGCACUCUGGGACAAGCCCUGGAAACGGGGUCUAAUACCGGAUAUUACCUUCCUCUGCAUGGGGGUUGGUGGAAAGCUCCGGCGGUGCAGGAUGAGCCCGCGGCCUAUCAGCUUGUUGGUGGGGUAAUGGCCUACCAAGGCGACGACGGGUAGCCGGCCUGAGAGGGCGACCGGCCACACUGGGACUGAGACACGGCCCAGACUCCUACGGGAGGCAGCAGUGGGGAAUAUUGCACAAUGGGCGAAAGCCUGAUGCAGCGACGCCGCGUGAGGGAUGACGGCCUUCGGGUUGUAAACCUCUUUCAGCAGGGAAGAAGCGCAAGUGACGGUACCUGCAGAAGAAGCACCGGCUAACUACGUGCCAGCAGCCGCGGUAAUACGUAGGGUGCGAGCGUUGUCCGGAAUUAUUGGGCGUAAAGAGCUCGUAGGCGGCCUGUCGCGUCGGAUGUGAAAGCCCGGGGCUUAACCCCGGGUCUGCAUUCGAUACGGGCAGGCUAGAGUGUGGUAGGGGAGAUCGGAAUUCCUGGUGUAGCGGUGAAAUGCGCAGAUAUCAGGAGGAACACCGGUGGCGAAGGCGGAUCUCUGGGCCAUUACUGACGCUGAGGAGCGAAAGCGUGGGGAGCGAACAGGAUUAGAUACCCUGGUAGUCCACGCCGUAAACGUUGGGAACUAGGUGUUGGCGACAUUCCACGUCGUCGGUGCCGCAGCUAACGCAUAAGUCCCCGC